GACGAACGCUGGCGGCGUGCCUAAUACAUGCAAGUCGAGGGACCGGCGCACGGGUGAGUAACACGCAUCCAACAUGCACUUUACUCGGGGAUAGCCCUUCGAAAGAAAGUUUAAUACCCGAUAUAAAGGAUGGGGAUGCGUUCACGUAGGUUGUUGGUGAGGUAACGGCUCACCAAGCCUUCGAUUGAUAGGGGUUCUGAGCGGAAGCUCCGCCACGUUGGAACUGAGACACGAUCCAAACUCCUACUGUAGGCAUCGGUGUUGACUAUUGGUCAGUGGGCGCUAGCCUGCACCAGCCGAGUAGCGUGAAGGAUGAAGGCUUAUGGGUCGUAAUCUUCUUUUAUAUAAGAAUCUGUGUUAUAUGAAUAAGGAUCGGCUAACUCCGUGCCAGCAGCCGCGGUAAUUC
rnacentral:rRNA from 1 species